GACAGAGGGGGCAAGCGUUGCUCGGAAUCACUGGGCGUAAAGGGCGCGUAGGCGGUUUGUUGCGUCGGCUGUGAAAUCCCGAGGCUCAACCUCGGGUCUGCAGUCGAUACGAGCAAACUAGAGUGUUGCAGGGGAGACUGGAAUUCCUGGUGUAGCGGUGAAAUGCGCAGAUAUCAGGAGGAACACCGGUGGCGAAGGCGGGUCUCUGGGCAACAACUGACGCUGAGGAGCGAAAGCGUGGGGAGCGAACAGG
rnacentral:rRNA from 1 species